AGUUACAACAGGCCAUGGAAGAGCGGGCUCCAGCUGGAGACCCAUGUCAGCCAGCUGAUGUAGUCACUGAAGUAGUUCCAGAUGGAGAGAGACCAGUAUGCGGAGAACCUGAAAGGAGAGAGUGCCAUGUGGCAGCAGAGGGUACAGCAAAUGGCAGAGCAGGUGCACACACUGAAGGAAAAGAAGGAGCACAGAGAAAG